rnacentral:lncRNA from 1 species
UUACUGUUCCUCUCAUUUUCUCGUUUUAUUUAUUUUUAAAAAAACAAACAUUUAAACCAUUAAAAAAACUUAAAACUUUUAGUCUUCCUUUGUUUUCUUUAUUAAAUAGUGUAUAUUAAUGUAUUAUUUUUUGGUGUUCCCAAUCCAUAAUCCUUUGGAAACCCAACAGCCAGGCGGCUAGGGUUUAUUUUUGAUUCCUCCAUCGUUUAAUUAGUAGUCCAAC